rnacentral:rRNA from 1 species
CGACGUGAGUAACCUGCCUUGGAGUGGGGAAUAACACAGUGAAAACUGUGCUAAUACCGCAUAAUGCAUUUGGGUCGCAUGAUUCUGAAUGCCAAAGAUUUAUCGCUCUGAGAUGGACUCGCGUCUGAUUAGCUGGUUGGCGGGGUAACGGCCCACCAAGGCGACGAUCAGUAGCCGGACUGAGAGGUUGACCGGCCACAUUGGGACUGAGACACGGCCCAA